CGCCCCGAGCCGCCCCGGCGGGCAGUGCAGAGGCGCGCCCAGCCCGCCGUGCCCCGACGGCGGCCGGAGCGGAGCGGAGCGGGAGUUACCGAGGCAGCAGCAGAGGUACCAGUGCCCCCCAAGAACACUUUGCCCUCACUAUUUGUGCCAGAAUGAAAACACACCAUGGUCUGUCUGGCCCAGCAAACCCUGCCGAGGUGCAGUCCAGCAGAGAUGCACUGAAACCUGAAGAAAAUCCUCACUACCUGGAGACCUGCAUGUGAGCAGCUUGGUGUGUGCUCCGAGUAAAACACAGAUGUUUGAUUUCAUUAUGUCAAAGUCAGACUAAAUACACUCAUCUGAUUACAGCCUAGUAACUUAGAAAGAAGCCUCACACCUCACAGAUGAUUUUUCCAAAGUGCUAAA